GUCUCUGUGGUGCAAUUGGUUAGCGCGUUCGGCUGUUAACCGGAAGGUUGGUGGUUCAAGCCCACCAAGGGACG
rnacentral:tRNA from 1 species